UUUUUUUUUGUUUUACCAGUUACGUGUGAAAACUAUGUUUAGGAGUUGGAUUGAAAGAUCAAAGGAUCCAUCCUUUAGAUUGUCUGCACUAUACAUGCAGGAGCUAGCUAACUUUGUGAAGAGAUAU